rnacentral:lncRNA from 10 species
AGGACCCUCAGCCCAGGGAGGUGGCUUUAAUCUUGGUUCUCCAGUGUCAGGAAGAGAUCCUUCAGUCAUGGGGGAACCUUUCUUGGCCGAGUUCGUAGUCAGAGGGAGAUGUGACUACAGAAGAAUGGUUGGACACGUGCAACACUGUGGGCUUUACAGAGGAAGGAAGGGGACAUGAGCCAAGGAACUCUGGCAGCCUCUAGAAGCUAAAAAAGGCAAGGUAAUCAGGAAGUCUCCUAGGAUAAGGUUAUUAUAUUCAAGUCCUGCCAAAAAAUGUAAGAAAAGAAGCUCCUAUUUGAGUGGACCAAAAAGAACAAUUAUACCUCCUAAAAAUAAAAUGAACCUAAGCUAAGAAAAUGAAAAGGUU